UACGAAGGGGGCUAGCGUUGCUCGGAAUCACUGGGCGUAAAGCGCACGUAGGCGGCUUUCUAAGUCAGGGGUGAAAUCCUGGAGCUCAACUCCAGAACUGCCUUUGAUACUGGAGAGCUUGAGUCCGGAAGAGGUGAGUGGAACUCCGAGUGUAGAGGUGAAAUUUCGUAGAUAUUGGAAGAACACCAGUGGCGAAGGCGGCUCACUGGUCCGGUACUGACGCUGAUGUGCGAAAAGCGUGGGGGAGCAAACAGGG
rnacentral:rRNA from 1 species